rnacentral:rRNA from 1 species
AAAAGAUUAAGCCAUGCAUGUCUAAGCAUAAGCCGUACUACGGUGAAGCCGCGAAUGGCUCAUUACAACAGCCAUAGUUUCUUGGAUCUUACUUUCCUACUUGGAUAACUGUGGUAAUUCUAGAGCUAAUACACGCAAACAAGCUCCGACCUUACGGGAGGAGUGCAUUUAUUAGAACAAAACCAAUCGGGUUUACGCCCGCUGUUUGGUGAAUCUGAAUAACUGUGCUGAUCGCAUGGUCUUUGCACCGGCGACGCAUCUUUCAAGUGUCUGCCUUAUCAACUUUCGAUGGUAGUUUAUGUGCCUACCAUGGUUGUAACGGGUAACGGAAAAUCAGGGUUCGACUCCGGAAAGGGAGCCUGAGAAAUGGCUACCACAUCCAAGGG